UGACAGAGCAGUUCAAUAACAUGGAGUGCGAAGUGUUUUACCACUAGCGAAGCAGAGGGAAUUUGCUCCAGACUGGAGGCUUCCACUCAGCAGCUCCAGGCGUCCUUCGUGAGGCUCCAGCUUGUUAUCAAUGGUGCUUCAAAGCCUGGCCAUGGGCCCCUGGUCGAUGUCACACAAAUUGACGAAGUCAUGAUACUGAAACUGUUGUUCCUUCUUCUGAAGUCCACCAAAAACAUCUGUAACAAUGCCAAUAGAGCUACAGUCCAGAUAACUAAUGUGGCUUGGGAUACGAAGGUGCUGCUGUAUGCCAAGGAUUACAAAACACACUUUGAAGCCCUGGUCCUGAAUGACUUGGCUGUAUUUGAGGAGAAGAGACUGCAGCACCUGCUCAUCUGUAGAGCCCAGGCACCCAGUCACUCAGUCAAGGUGGCUGAGAACGAAUUCCUUGGAGUCUGGGACCAGACUGU